AAAAUGUGGUCCUAGGGGAAAAAAAUGCUUCCGUGUUGUUCCAGGUCCCGUUCAAGAAGCUCUUCCAGCUCGCAGUCCAGGUCUCACUCCGGUUCCAGAGAACAUUCCAGAUCCCGUGGUUCGAAAUCAAGAUCCAGCUCCAGGUCCCACAGGGGCUCUUCUUCCCCAAGAAAAAGAUCUUACUCGAGUUCUUCAUCAUCUCCUGAAAGAGACAGGAAGAGGAGUCGCUCUAGACCUUCUUCACCAGCUGUUCGCAAAAAAAGACGAACGAGAUCACGGUCACCCGAAAGGCACCACAGGUCGUCCUCCGGAUCAACCCAUUCUGGUUCCCGUUCAAGUUCAAAAAAGAAAUAAUGUAUUAAAAUUUACAUCUUUAAAAAACAUUGAGUACAGUGCAUGAAGCAUAUUUUUUAGGAAGUUGAUGUCUCAUUUGGUCAGAAGUACUACAUCUGCUAGUAGAGGUGCAUGCCUUUAUUGCUUUUCAAAACAAUAAAACUGUUCAUUUGUGAAACUGAAAGUAAAUUGCAUUUUAAGCCAUACUGUUCCCCAGAUAAAUGCUCUGUCCAUUAUUUACAACCAUUUACUUCGUUUAAAACCAUCCUAGCGAUAACGGAGUACUUUUGUUUCCUACUUU
rnacentral:lncRNA from 1 species